UUCGAAGCUCAAUCACGCUCGUUGCCAAAGAAGGGUGUUGAGUGGGAUGAUGAUAUGUUUGUAGUGCUCAUUGAGAGUUAUAAUAACGCUGGGAUAGUUCAAGGAAGCUGUUAAGAUAUUUCAGAAAUGAAUGAAUUGGGUGUGAAGAGUUUAUAUGAAGAGUUAGGAUGCUUUGUUUAAGGUGAUUUUGAGGAGAGGGAGGUAUAUAAUGGCUAAGUGGUUCUUUAAUAAGAUGUUGAGUGAAGGGAUUGAGCCAACCAGCCAUACUUAGAAUAUUAUGCUUUGGGGUUUCUUCUUGUCAUUGAGGGUCGGCAAUGAGCUUUUAUGAGGAUAUGAAGAGUAGAGGGAUAUCCCCUGAUGUGGU
rnacentral:misc_RNA from 1 species